CUUAUUUUAGUGGUGAAUAUUGUAGGCACUAGUGAAAAAGGCACCAUUAAGACCACAGCGGAAAGACCAGCCAUUUAUAGAUCAGCAGGUGACUUCCGGUGAAAGAGGAAACUCCCACUGAGGCAGACAUGGCGGUGGUGAUAUAAAGCUAGCAGGAAGCCGUUACUAGCCGCGGACAUUAGCGUUUAUUCGGGUGUUUGUGUUGGCGCACAGCGAGCAGGUGACACACGAUAAUGCUGUUUAUCGCUGAUGUGUGAGUUUAAAAAGAAAUACCGCGAUAAAAACACAUUAAAACACAAUGAAAGGCGGAUCGGAGAAGGGAAUGUUUACACAAAGUUCUCCUCACACCGAAGAGGAGGAAGAGCUGAAGGAGGAGGAGGAAGAACUGAAGGAGGAGGAGGAAGAGAAAAGCGUCUCCGGAGAUCCGUUUGUUGUGGUGAAGCUGGAGGAUGAAAGAGACGGACAGGAAGCGGUGAGGAGCGAGCGGUCAUCAGGGGGCGGGUCAGCGCUGGACAUCAGUCUGUUCGCCCCGCUAGACUCGUCAGAGGACGGGGAGGAAGAGGAGGAGAGACCGCUGUCACACACACACCCGGCCUGCUGGUCCUGUGCUCCGGAUCAGGAUGAACACGUCGUUUCUCCUCAGAAACGACGGAGGGGACGUCGGAAACGGGCGAAACAAACUCGACCAAGACGCCACGGAGAUCCUGCAGCUCAGUCUGGGAUGAGAACGACGGAGGAAACGGACGACACGGACGAGCUUCCUGACCACGCCCCUCCUGAGAAAUGUGCCAAGUCCACGCUCUGGGACGUCCCCUCUCGUAAGACGGCUCGCCCCGGCGUCUGGAAAUACUUUGAGUAUUUUAUAAACCCAGAAGGCGAGCUGGAGGAUUACGGCUUUCCGACAUGUAAACUGUGCCAGCUGAAGGUGGCGUGUAAAAGAGGAAACACGUCCAACAUGCUGCGGCAUCUGCAGGAACAUCACGCCUUCGCCUACCGAGAAGCCAAGAGAGCAGACAGCCUGUGGCUCGACUCGGACUCGUCCGAUUCGGACAUGAAGGUGGAGUCGGACGAGCAGAACGUGACGUCCGAGUGGUUCGGUGUGGUGAGACAGAGUGAAGAUGAUGACGAUGAAGAUGCAGACUACUCCGAGUACAGAGUCCCGUCCGCUCCGAGGAGGAAGAGGCAGGUCCGGUCAGCCGUGUGGAAGUACUUUCGUUACGACGAGGACAGAAGGCCGAGCUGUAAGAUCUGCGGCUGGAAGCUCACUGAGGGAUCUUCAGGCAGCACCAGCAACAUGAGGCAUCAUCUGCAGAGUCUGCAUCAGAUCGUGUGUCCACUCACUAAGUCUGCUGGUCUCAUAAUAACACUACCCGAAGGAGACGAGACCCUUAAACUGUACCCGCCCACAACACCACGCAAAUCAGCGGUAUGGAAACUGUUCGGCUUCAUCAUGAACAGCGAAGGCGUGCUGGAGGAGAACAGCUUCCCCAUCUGCAGGCUGUGCCAUCAAGUCGUCGCGUCCAAAGACGGAAACACGUCCAACAUGUACAGUCACCUGCAGCACCAUCACCAAGCCGUGUACGCGGAGCUGAAGCACACGAUGGCUCCUGCAGGAGCAGAGCAGAGACCGGACCUGUCUCCUGAGGCCAAUGAGCUCCAUCCUCCUGUAAAACGCAGAAACUCACCUGUUUGGAAAUAUUUUGGAUUUGCUAAAAGCCCAGAGGGCGAGUUAAAGGAGGACGGAUUCCCUCUGUGUAAAAUGUGCCAUCGGAGAGUCGCAGCUAAAGACGGAACCACGUCCAACAUGCUGAACCACCUGCGGCGCCACCACCAGGCUGAGUAUGAAGAAGUGAAGCUGGCAAACGAAACGCUGCCUCCGAGUCGUUCAGAUGAAGCAAAUGACCUUCCUGAGCUGUUUCCCCCCAGCAUUGUCCCUCUGUCCCCCGUCUGGGAUUACUUCGGCUACCCCAAAAACGCAGACGGCGUGAUCGAGGAGAACGAACGUCCCAAGUGUAAAGCGUGCCGACAGUCCAUCGUCUCCAAGCAGGGCAUUUUAUCCAACAUGCUGCGCCACCUGAAGUUCUACCACGACUCUUUAUUCGAGGAGCUAAAAUCCAGGACCGGAUGGCGCAGGUACAGGCCUUAUAAGGAGAGGAGCCGAGCUCCGCCCAUUCAGGCCAACCCGGAAGAGCUGUACCCACCCAAAAUGGCUCUGAAAUCAGGCGUCUGGAAACAUUUCGGAUACCUGAGGAACUCGAAGGGCGUGGUCGUGCCGGACGGCUUCCCCAUCUGUAAACUGUGCCUGAGAAAAGUCAGCACACCGAGAGGAUGUACCACCAACAUGAUGGUCCAUCUCCAGAGAUACCACACCACCGAGUUCACAGACAUGAAGCUGACCGGCGACGAUAACGACGACCAAACACACCCAGAGACCGGAGAUCCAGGCCCGCUGUCAGACCUCUGCCCGCCUCAGGACGUCUUGGAGCCCGUGUGGGAGCAUUUCGGAUACCUGAAAGACGUAGACGGGGUCGUCCAGGUGGACGGGCAGCCGACGUGUAAACUCUGUGGCGUUAAAGUUUCCUGCCCCGGCGAGAGCACAAAAUACCUCUACAGGCAUCUGUGGAAAAAACACAACGCCGUGUACCUCGACGUCAAGGUAGCCACCAGUUCCUUCAGAGGACAGGACGGACUGGUGGCCCCGGUCCUUUUCCCACCGACACACAGGGUGAAGUCUGCAGUCUGGGAACAUUUCGGCUACCUGAAGGACGCGGAGGGGACGGUGGUCUGCGACGGCUUCCCCAUAUGCAAAACCUGCUACUUAAACGUUUCGGCUAAAGGAGGAAACACCACCAAUAUGUUCAAACACCUCAAAGAUCAUCACAAGUCCAUUUACGAUGAAAUCAGGCCGACCGGUCCUGAGGAGACGGUUCACGACCAGACGUCUUCGAUCCUCUACGCUCCUGAUGGACAGAACUCCAAAGUGUGGGAGCAUUUCGGGUAUCUCAGGAAUGCGGACGGGACCCUGAUAGAAGAUGGAGCUCCAGCUUGUAAGAUCUGCGGCGUGAAGGUGACGUGGGACGGCGAGUCCACGUCCAACAUGAUGAAACACCUGCAGGAGAACCAUGAAGACGUGCACGCUGAAUCGCAGGAAGCUCCCAGUAACCCGAGGACGGAAGACGAGCCCGAGCUUCCCGAGCUUCACCCCCCCACUCAGAACGCCUAUCCCGUCUGGGAACAUUUCGGGUUCCUGAAGGACGCAGAAGGUUCCGUCGUGUUUGACGGCUUCCCCAUCUGCAAAAUCUGUCGCCAGAGAGUGGAGUCCAAAGACGGAGACACGAGGAACAUGUUCCACCACUUGAAGGCGAAUCAUCUGCACGUGUACCAGCAGAUCACGGCGGCGAUUGAUAAACGUGUUUAUAAAGCGUUGGAGCUGUGUCCACCUAACGGCCGGCAGGUCGACGUCAGGCUGUGGGAUCAUUUCGGUUAUCCUAAAAACUCAGACGGUGAGGUUGAAGAUGACGGAUCUCCGGUGUGUAAAAUCUGCCUUCAGAAGCUCACGGUGUCCUCCAGAGGAGCAAACCUCACCACCAGCAUGCUGAGGCACCUGCGGAGGAACCACCAGUCUGUUUACGAGGAGGUUCAGGAGGCGAUCGGAGCCUGGAGACCUGAGUGUAAUAAUGAGAAGCUCGAGCUUUUCCCACCCACACAGAACGUCACGUCCUCCGUGUGGGAGCAUUUUGGAUACCUAAAAGACGCAGAGGGGACGGUGGUCUGUGACGGCUUCCCCAUAUGUAAAUUAUGUCACCAAAAAGUUCCUUCUAAAGGAGGAAACACCACCAACAUGUUCAAACACCUCAAAGACUGCCAUCGGAGCGUCUACAGUGAAAUCCGAUCUGCGGUGACUAACGAGGUGUUCGAGGACCUUUGCUCGGCCGCCGCCCUCCACCCCCCCAGCGCCCCGUGUGAGCCGACGAUCUGGGAACAUUUCGGAUAUCGCAAAAACUCCGACGGAGAGGUGGAAGAGGACGGAGCGCCGUUCUGUAAACUCUGUCUCAGAAAGUUAGUGUCCAGAGGAGAGACGACGAGAAACAUGAGGCAGCACCUUAAAGAGAACCACAACACUGUGUACACGGAACCUGAGGAAGUACUGAGCUCGUUAGUCUUGGAGCUGGACUCGGGCACUUCGGACCUUCAUCCUCCGACCCGGAAAGUGAAAUCGGCCGUGUGGAAGUUUUUCGGUUACCCGAGAGACACGGCAGGGUUGGUCCUGAGCGACGGCUUCCCCAUCUGCAAACUCUGCCAGAAGAAAGUGUCUGCUAAAGGAGGGAACACCACCAACAUGUUCACACACCUCCGAGAUUAUCACCGCACGACGUAUAACGAGAUCAAGGCCACGUUUGACCCUGUGAGGACCGAGAAUGAGCAGGAACCUGUGGAGCUUCACCUCCCAACAACAGACGCCUUGUCGCCCGUCUGGAAAUAUUUCGGAUACCCGAAAAACGCAGACGGGGCUGUGGUGUGUGACGGCUGCCCCCUGUGCAGACUGUGUCAGCUGAAAGUGACGGCGAAAGGAGGAAGUACCACUAACAUGCUCAUGCACCUGAGAGCCUACCACCUGGAUGUGUACAAGGAAGUCAAGCCAGCCGUUACAAAAAAGUCCAUCUACAGACCCUUUGAACUCCAUCCACCGAGCGGCCAAGAUGACAUCAAGUUAUGGGAUCACUUUGGAUAUCAGAAAAGCGCAGACGGUGAGCUGAAGGACGACGGAGCCCCGAUCUGUAAAAUCUGCCUUCGGAAAAUGAUCAAACCCCCGACGGGCGGGACGCCGACCACCAACAUGCUGAGGCACCUUCGUAAAAAACACCAGUCUGUGUAUAACGAAGUGCAGGAAGCCAUCACCACCCUCAGAACAGCGUGGGGUAUCGAACCACCGGAGCUCCACCCACCAACUCAGAACGUCACAUCUGCGGUCUGGCAGUAUUUCGGCUACCUGAAGGACGCAGACGGCUCGGUCGUGUGCGACGACUUUCCCAUCUGCAAACUGUGUCAACAGAAAGUAGCUUCUAAGCGACGGUGCACUACAAACAUGUUUAAACACCUGAAGGAUUACCACCGAACCGUCUACGACGAGGUCCGGAGCGCGGUUACGAGCGAGACGUUUGAAGAUCUCUCCCUGCCGUCUGACCUCCAUCCUCCCAGCGGACAGUACAACCUCAAACUGUGGGAGUAUUUCGGAUAUCGUAAGUCGACAGACGGCGACCUGGUGGAAGACGGAGCACCGAUCUGUAAGCUCUGCUUCCGGAAGCUGAUCUCUAAAGGCGAGACGACGACGAACAUGAUGCAGCACCUUAAAGAGAAUCACAACGCCGUCUACACCGACGUGCAGAGGGAAGUAAACCCCUUCACCAUCGGAGGCGCCACUGAGCUCCCUGAGCUUCAUCCACCUGAACACAGAGUGAGGUCCGGUGUCUGGAAACAUUUCGGCUACCUGAGGGACACGGAGGGUCCUGCCGACUGCGCCGGCUUCCCCAUCUGCAAGAUCUGCCGUUCAAAAGUGUCCAAUAAGGGGAAAGUCACGGCCAACAUGACCGCACACCUCAAAGACCAUCACAGGAACGUCUACGACGACCUCAAGAUCCCAGACAGAAGACCCAAAGUGGUGUUGGCUGAAAAUCUCCCAGAACUUUAUCCACCAUCCAAACAGCCGUUGUCUCCGAUCUGGGAACAUUUCGGACUCCCCAAAAACGCAGACGGAGCGAUCGAAGAGGACGGAUGCCCCGUGUGCAGGAUCUGUGGCAAAAAGGUUUCAAGCCAAGACGGAAGGAAAAUGAUCAGACAUCUGCACUUCUGCCAUUUCUCCGUAUAUGAAGAGUUAAAGAACGCAAUUAGAGCUUCCAAGUUGGGGGUGGACGCAGGAGGACAACCCACCGACCUCCACCCUCCCUCCAAGAGCGUCCGGUCGUCCGUCUGGGAAUAUUUCGGGUACCUGAAGAAUCCGGACGGUACGAUUAACGUGGACGGACGACCGAUCUGCAAGAUGUGCUUCCAUAAAGUGUCCAGUCACGGAGGAAACACCACCAACAUGUUCAAGCACCUGGAGGACAAACAUGGGCUUAGUCAAUAGUGUGUGUGUGUGUGUGUGUGUGUGUGUGGAAGGAGGAAUAGUGAAAGAGACUCGAUCGUGCUGACAUCCUCGUGCCUGGAUUUAAAUCACCGUUACCUCGUAUUCUCACUCUAGUAUAGUUCGAGUCAUGUACGGCUCAAGAGGUAGCGUUAAUGACGUCAGGUAGCGUUAAUGACGUCAGGAGACGUCACGUAAAAAAGUCCGUAGUAGUUGAGUGAAGUUUCAGUAAAUCAGCGUGUAGCACGUUGUCCCUUUCUGUCUGUCUUUUCAACCCAAACGUCCUUCCUGUAGGUUCACCGACUCAUCAUUACUACCAAACGUUUAGCUACAGCUUCAGACUGACUUCUGAUGUGGGACUGCGGCUUAAACCGGGACGCAGAGAGACAGCGGACGGUACAGGUGGAGAUGUCCAGCGUCCAUCGCUGUAUCCAUCCCUGCUAUAGAGCGACCUACAGUACAUCAUCAUCAUCAUCACGUUUUUCAUGAACAGCAUUCAGUGUAGCACCUCCUCCAUCACCAUGAGGCUAGAAACUAAAAACUAGCACAGAAUGUAGAUGGAGGACUGACGAUCAGUGGGUAGAUGAUGUGAGAUCAUGCUGUAACUACUUCCUGUUUUCAGAGGAAGUGGGUUGAUGGGAGAGGAGCAAACUCUCUGAGGAACAUCUGGAGGAGCAGAGUAACAGGAGCUGGACAAGAGAGAGGCCAUGUUGGCCAGACGAGUGUGAGGUGGAG